rnacentral:rRNA from 1 species
UUAAACGACUCUMGGCAACGGAUAUCUCGGCUCUCGCAUCGAUGAAGAACGCAGCGAAAUGCGAUACUUGGUGUGAAUUGCAGAAUCCCGUGAACCAUCGAGUCUUUGAACGCAAGUUGCGCCCAAAGCCUUCGGGCCGAGGGCACGUCUGCCUGGGCGUCACGC